rnacentral:rRNA from 1 species
AAGUGCAGUCGAGCGGUAGCACAGAGAGCUUGCUCUCGGGUGACGAGCGGCGGACGGGUGAGUAAUGUCUGGGAAACUGCCUGAUGGAGGGGGAUAACUACUGGAAACGGUAGCUAAUACCGCAUAACGUCGCAAGACCAAAGUGGGGGACCUUCGGGCCUCAUGCCAUCAGAUGUGCCCAGAUGGGAUUAGCUAGUAGGUGGGGUAACGGCUCACCUAGGCGACGAUCCCUAGCUGGUCUGAGAGGAUGACCAGCCACACUGGAACUGAGACACGGUCCAGACUCCUACGGGAGGCAGCAGUGGGGAAUAUUGCACAAUGGGCGCAAGCCUGAUGCAGCCAUGCCGCGUGUGUGAAGAAGGCCUUCGGGUUGUAAAGCACUUUCAGCGGGGAGGAAGGCGUUAAGGUUAAUAACCUUGGCGAUUGACGUUACCCGCAGAAGAAGCACCGGCUAACUCCGUGCCAGCAGCCGCGGUAAUACGGAGGGUGCAAGCGUUAAUCGGAAUUACUGGGCGUAAAGCGCACGCAGGCGGUCUGUCAAGUCGGAUGUGAAAUCCCCGGGCUCAACCUGGGAACUGCAUUCGAAACUGGCAGGCUAGAGUCUUGUAGAGGGGGGUAGAAUUCCAGGUGUAGCGGUGAAAUGCGUAGAGAUCUGGAGGAAUACCGGUGGCGAAGGCGGCCCCCUGGACAAAGACUGACGCUCAGGUGCGAAAGCGUGGGGAGCAAACAGGAUUAGAUACCCUGGUAGUCCACGCCGUAAACGAUGUCGAUUUGGAGGUUGUGCCCUUGAGGCGUGGCUUCCGGAGCUAACGCGUUAAAUCGACCGCCUGGGGAGUACGGCCGCAAGGUUAAAACUCAAAUGAAUUGACGGGGGCCCGCACAAGCGGUGGAGCAUGUGGUUUAAUUCGAUGCAACGCGAAGAACCUUACCUGGUCUUGACAUCCACAGAACUUUCCAGAGAUGGAUUGGUGCCUUCGGGAACUGUGAGACAGGUGCUGCAUGGCUGUCGUCAGCUCGUGUUGUGAAAUGUUGGGUUAAGUCCCGCAACGAGCGCAACCCUUAUCCUUUGUUGCCAGCGGUCCGGCCGGGAACUCAAAGGAGACUGCCAGUGAUAAACUGGAGGAAGGUGGGGAUGACGUCAAGUCAUCAUGGCCCUUACGACCAGGGCUACACACGUGCUACAAUGGCAUAUACAAAGAGAAGCGACCUCGCGAGAGCAAGCGGACCUCAUAAAGUAUGUCGUAGUCCGGAUUGGAGUCUGCAACUCGACUCCAUGAAGUCGGAAUCGCUAGUAAUCGUAGAUCAGAAUGCUACGGUGAAUACGUUCCCGGGCCUUGUACACACCGCCCGUCACACCAUGGGAGUGGGUUGCAAAAGAAGUAGGUAGCUUAACCUUCGGGAGGGCGCUUACCACUUUGUGAUUCAUGACUGGGGUGAAGUCAAAGG